GGUUCGAUGGUGUAGUUGGUUAUCACGUCUGUCUCACAUUGCAAGCGUCCGGGGUGACCCGGGCUCUAACGGGCGUAAAUUGUGGCGCACAGGAGGUCUCCGGUUCGAGCCCGGGUCGAACCA